rnacentral:rRNA from 1 species
ACGGAAGGCAGCAGUGGGGGAUAUUGCACAAUGGGGGAAACCCUGAUGCAGCGACGCCGCGUGAGUGAAGAAGUAUUUCGGUAUGUAAAGCUCUAUCAGCAGGGAAGAAAAUGACGGUACCUGCAGAAUAAGCCCCGGCUAACUACGUGCCAGCAGCCGCGGUAAUACGUAGGGGGCAAGCGUUAUCCGGAUUUACUGGGUGUAAAGGGAGCGUAGACGGCAUAGCAAGUCUGAAGUGAAAGCCCGCGGCUUAACUGCGGGACUGCUUUGGAAACUGUUAAGCUAGAGUGUCGGAGAGGUGAGUGGAAUUCCCAGUGUAGCGGUGAAAUGCGUAGAUAUUGGGAGGAACACCGGAGGCGAAGGCGGCUCACUGGACGAUAACUGACGUUGAUGCUCGAAAGCGUGGGGAGCAAACAGGAUUAGAUACCCUGGUA